CGGAGCGGGGUUGGAGCAGCAGUCAGCUCAGGGCAGCUCGGGGAAGGCCGGAGGAGGACCCUGGUGGCGAUCGAGGGGUCAGAAACAGGAGGAGAGAGGCAUGGGGGAACCUGACAGGAAGUGAGGCUUCGAGACUUCAAAUACAAACAUUAUGAAAAACAAGCAACAUCUGCAAACAACACUCUUGCAAAGACACUUCCUGGACACUUGGAUGUAACAGAGCAAUCUCCAUGCAGCAGGAAACCAGAGAAGGCGAACUUUCAGCCACCUUAAUAUUUGGAUAAUCCUGCAUAAUGAUUUGAGGGUUGCAUCUGGAAAGCUCCACUGGCUCCUCUCCACGCUAGGCGCCUGGCUCACUGGGUGACCCGAGCCUUUGUCUCUGCUUCACAACCAACACUUGCAGAUACUGAGAAGAUGCCCUUAGCCUAUCUUGAGGGAGGGAAAAGGCAAGACGGGGGACGGGCAGUGUUGUCUACGUCUCUGCCCGAACCCAGCGUUUACCAGAAACAGCUUGUAAGUAUCAGGCUCUGCAUCUUGGAACAUUCUCCUGAUUAAUGCAGAGAGGAGCAAUGAAAGCUGCGCAUUUAGAGAUGACAUCAGCCAGGAUUCCUGUGCGGCGAGGGAAACGCAUUGCGCUCCUUCCCUUCCUUCUCCUCCCUUCCCUUCCCUCCUCCUUCCCUCUUCUGUCCGAAGGAAAGCCUCGGCAAACAGCAAAGGCACCGGGAGUCUGCAGGCUUGCACGCUCCAAACUGCUGGCCAAGGGUCAGCCUGACCUGCAGCUGUGGCACCAAAUAAAAUCAACGCAGCCCACAUUGCGCAAACACCCUCUGUGGCUCUUUAUUACCAAAUGAUAUGAACUUUGACCCAACCCAAACAAAAUUUAAUAUUUUCUCCCAAAUAUUUAAAAAAAAUUCAUUCUGGGGCUCGAGAGGAGUCAGGGAGGCUGCGUGCCGUAAUUUGACAUCUGAAUUAUUUCUGAGGCUAAUACGAAAGCUAUUCACAAGCUUAUUUGGAGAUGUGUCAAUCAAGAUAUCACUUGUGCGGGGAAGAUGGACCCGGGCUUAGGGCUGCAGAUAGCUUUCAGGGAACCACAAAAUAAAAGGAAGGCAAGCUCUGAUGAAUAUGUUACGUCUUCAUUCUGGACGAUGACAUGUUUUUUUUCCUCUCUUGGUGGAAAGUAUGAGUGUAGGAGAGCCGCGUCCCCAGGAUGUGCCUUUUUCCACACCUGUAAAAACGUUUUAACGUUUAUUAAAAACGA